rnacentral:rRNA from 1 species
AUACGGAGGGUGCAAGCGUUGUUCGGAAUCACUGGGCGUAAAGGGCGCGCAGGCGGUCCUGCAAGUCAGAUGUGAAAGCCCACGGCUCAACCGUGGAAGUGCAUUUGAAACUGCAGGACUUGAGUAUCAGAGGGGAAAGUGGAAUUCCCGGUGUAGAGGUGAAAUUCGUAGAUAUCGGGAGGAAUACCGGUGGCGAAGGCGACUUUCUGGCUGAAUACUGACGCUGAGGCGCGAAAGCGUGGGGAGCAAACAGGAUUAGAUACCCUAGUAGUCC